rnacentral:rRNA from 1 species
UACGAAGGGGGCUAGCGUUGCUCGGAAUCACUGGGCGUAAAGGGUGCGUAGGCGGGUCUUUUAAGUCAGGGGUGAAAUCCUGGAGCUCAACUCCAGAACUGCCUUUGAUACUGAAGAUCUUGAGUUCGGGAGAGGUGAGUGGAACUGCGAGUGUAGAGGUGAAAUUCGUAGAUAUUCGCAAGAACACCAGUGGCGAAGGCGGCUCACUGGCCCGAUACUGACGCUGAGGCACGAAAGCGUGGGGGAGCAAACAGGGA